ACAAAAAAAAAAAAGAAGAGUAAGUUCAGCAGCAGACUUUGAUUCUGGAGAGUGCUUAUGCCUGACGAAUGGUAAUCUUAUUACUUAAUGUUUGGAAAAACCCAUUUUUAAGCCCCUCAACUGUACAUGUUUUUGGUUUUUGCUAUUGAUCCCUCUGAGAAUUAUUACUUCCAAUUAAGCCCCUGAACUGUUAUUUUUGGUUACUUUGAGAACUUUUUAAUGGACAAUAAAAAAAAAAAUAUUAGG
rnacentral:misc_RNA from 1 species